AUUGAACGCUGGCGGAAUGCUUUACACAUGCAAGUCGAACGGCAGCACGGGGGCAACCCUGGUGGCGAGUGGCGAACGGGUGAGUAAUACAUCGGAACGUGCCCAGUCGUGGGGGAUAACGUAGCGAAAGUUACGCUAAUACCGCAUACGAUCUACGGAUGAAAGCGGGGGACCGUAAGGCCCCGCGCGAUUGGAGCGGCCGAUGUCAGAUUAGGUAGUUGGUGAGGUAAAGGCUCACCAAGCCGACGAUCUGUAGCUGGUCUGAGAGGACGACCAGCCACACUGGGACUGAGACAUGGCCCAGACGCCUACGGGAGGCAGCAGUGGGGAAUUUUGGACAAUGGGCGCAAGCCUGAUCCAGCCAUUCCGCGUGCAGGACGAAGGCCUUCGGGUUGUAAACUGCUUUUGUACGGAACGAAAAGGCUCUGGUUAAUACCUGGGGCUCAUGACGGUACCGUAAGAAUAAGCACCGGUUAACUACGUGCCAGCAGCCGCAGUAA
rnacentral:rRNA from 1 species